AUUGAACGCUGGCGGCAUGCUUUACACAUGCAAGUCGAACGGUAACAGGCCGCAAGGUGCUGACGAGUGGCGAACGGGUGAGUAAUGCAUCGGAACGUGCCCAGUCGUGGGGGAUAACGCAGCGAAAGCUGCGCUAAUACCGCAUACGAUCUAUGGAUGAAAGCGGGGGACCGUAAGGCCUCGCGCGAUUGGAGCGGCCGAUGUCAGAUUAGGUAGUUGGUGGGGUAAAGGCUCACCAAGCCAACGAUCUGUAGCUGGUCUGAGAGGACGACCAGCCACACUGGGACUGAGACACGGCCCAGACUCCUACGGGAGGCAGCAGUGGGGAAUUUUGGACAAUGGGCGCAAGCCUGAUCCAGCAAUGCCGCGUGCAGGAAGAAGGGCCUUCGGGUUGUAAACUGCUUUGUACGGAACGAAAAGGACGUCUGGUUAAUACCUGGGCGACAUGACGGUACCGUAAGAAUAAGACACCGGCUAACUACGUGCCAGCAGCCGCGGU
rnacentral:rRNA from 1 species